CCUACGGUGGCUGCAGUGGGGAAUAUUGGACAAUGGGCGAAAGCCUGAUCCAGCCAUGCCGCGUGUGUGAAGAAGGCCUUCGGGUUGUAAAGCACUUUCAGUGGGGAAGAAAGCCUUGGGGCUAAUACCCUCGAGGAAGGACAUCACCCACAGAAGAAGCACCGGCUAACUCCGUGCCAGCAGCCGCGGUAAUACGGAGGGUGCGAGCGUUAAUCGGAAUUACUGGGCGUAAAGCGCGCGUAGGCGGUCUGAUAAGCCGGUUGUGAAAGCCCCGGGCUCAACCUGGGAACGGCAUCCGGAACUGUCAGGCUAGAGUGCAGGAGAGGAAGGUAGAAUUCCCGGUGUAGCGGUGAAAUGCAUAGAGAUCGGGAGGAAUACCAGUGGCGAAGGCGGCCUUCUGGACUGACACUGACGCUGAGGUGCGAAAGCGUGGGUAGCAAACAGGAUUAGAUACCCUAGUAGUC
rnacentral:rRNA from 1 species